rnacentral:rRNA from 1 species
GAUGAACGCUGGCGGCGUGCCUAAUACAUGCAAGUCGAGCGAACGGACGAGAAGCUUGCUUUUCUGAUGUUAGCGGCGGACGGGUGAGUAACACGUGGAUAACCUACCUAUAAGACUGGGAUAACUUCGGGAAACCGGAGCUAAUACCGGAUAAUAUUUUGAACCGCAUGGUUCAAAAGUGAAAGACGGUCUUGCUGUCACUUAUAGAUGGAUCCGCGCUGCAUUAGCUAGUUGGUAAGGUAACGGCUUACCAAGGCAACGAUGCAUAGCCGACCUGAGAGGGGGAUCGGCCACACGGGAACUGGGACACGGUCAAGACUCCUACGGGAGGCAGCAGUAGGGAAUCUUCCGCAAUGGGCGAAAGCCUGACGGAGCAACGCCGCGUGAGUGAUGGAGGUCUUCGGAUCGUAAAACUCUGUUAUUAGGGAAGAACAUAUGUGUAAGUAACUGUGCACAUCUUGACGGUACCUAAUCAGAAAGCCACGGCUAACUACGUG